AAACUGGGUAGUGAUAUUGAUCCGGAAGAAGCUCAAAAGGCACUUGAAAUAGCCGAAGCUAACUUGAGUAAAGCUGAGGGUACGAAAGAUUUGGUUGAAGCGAAGCUCGCUCUUAGACGAGCUAGGAUACAAAUCGAGGCUGUCAAUUGGAUUCCCCCAUCCAAUUGA
rnacentral:rRNA from 1 species